UACGGGGGGGGCAAGCGUUGUUCGGAAUUACUGGGCGUAAAGGGCUCGUAGGCGGCCAACUAAGUCAGACGUGAAAUCCCCAGGCUCAACCUGGGAACUGCGUCUGAUACUGGAUGGCUUGAAUCCGGGAGAGGGAUGCGGAAUUCCAGGUGUAGCGGUGAAAUGCGUAGAUAUCUGGAGGAACACCGGUGGCGAAGGCGGCAUCCUGGACCGGCAUUGACGCUGAGGCGCGAAAGCUAGGGGAGCAAACGGG
rnacentral:rRNA from 1 species